rnacentral:lncRNA from 1 species
GCUAAUAUUGGGAUAUGUUUGAGCUUAAUAAAUAAGAAACAGCCAAGAUGAAAUAAAACAGCAUGAGCUGUAGCCUGUAGUUUAGAAUAAAAGCAAAAUCCAAGGAAACAUAAUUGUAAGCAAGAGCUGAAGCUAAGUUAGGAGCUAAUUAGGUGACGAGGAUAUUCUUAAGCAGUAGCUGUCUUUGUGCGAUGGAUAUAGAUAUAUUACUCGGUUGGUCUAUAGCGUGGGAAGCAAGGAAUGUCAUCCUAUAAAUCAAGAGCACCCAAAAGUUCCCAGCUUUCCCUUUCUCUCAACCGAUUCCUCUCCUGGCUAAGCUAUUACCCGGACUUCUCCUUACUUUACUUGUUUACUCAAACAUGCUAAACAAGAACAAAUUAGUAGAUAUGUGAUUUACUAGUAACUUGAUUAAGUCCAUGUGCUUCGGUUUGUGUAACAUAGUGCAGAUAUUUGAUGUCUAGUAUGCUUUAUAAUGGAUAUUACUAUAUUGUAGAAUUAGGUGAUUAUCAAUGGAAUUGAAAUAAAAGGAAGUACAAUUAGUUAGUUUGCUAAUCACUUAGUUUUGCAUAAGUUUGACUGUAAUAGACUAUUAUGGCUGGAACUAAAUUAAAGGAGAUAGGUUGGUUGUGUGGAGGCAUAAGGGAGAUAAAAUGGAUUUGUAAUACAAGCAAAUAGUUAUGACACAAGUAGUUUAAAACUGUGCACACUAGCUGUUUGAUAAAAGUCCUUAAUGGACUGUUUAAGUUGAAAAUCAGAUAUUAGGC